AUGGAGCGUCAUCCCUUUCUCCUGCUUCUUGUUGUCUCGCUUGGCUUAACUCUUGUGGCCUUGUGUGCCGGUCAAAACCAAUUCAUCUACCAUGGCUUCACCGGCGAAAACCUCACUAUCGAUGGCACUGCCAAAAUCACACCGGAGGGACUCCUGGAGCUGACAAGCGACAAGAACGAUCUCAGCGGGCAUGCGUUCUUCCCAACGCCUAUGCACCUUCGCAGGCCACCCAACAGCACGGUGCAAUCCUUCUCGGUGAACUUCGUGUUCGGCAUCCAGUCCUUCUACUCCGACAGGAGCUAUGAUGGCAUGGCGUUCCUGCUAGCACCGACCAACGAUCUCUCGGCCGCAUGGCCAGAUGGCUACCUGGGUCUCUUCAACAUCAGCAACCGGGGAAAUUUCAGUAACCACAUCUUCGCAGUCGAACUCGAUACCUUUCAGAACAGCGAGUUUGGGGAUAUCAGCAACAGCCAUGUUGGAGUUGAUGUCAACGACGUCCGCUCCGUGCAGUCCUCCUUUGCUGGCUUCUAUGAUGAGAAGGGGGUGUUCAGAAACCUGACUCUUUAUAGCGGUCGGGCCAUGCAAGUUUGGCUGGAAUACGUCGAAGAGGCGACACAGAUCACCGUGACCAUGGCUCCCAUUGAUACACCAAAACCGAAGAGGCCACUGCUCUCUGCUACCUAUGAUCUCUCAACUGUGCUCACAGACCCAGUGUAUAUUGGUUUUUCUGCUGCAACUGGCCCAGUUAGUACACGACAUAUCGUGCUUGGCUGGAGCUUCGACAUGGGUGUUCCAGCUCCAGCCCUUGAUAUCACCAAACUGCCCAAGCUACCUCGUGUUGGCACCAAGCCUCGUUCCAAUGUCUUGGAGAUCGUCCUCCCAAUUGCCAGUGCCAUGUUCAUCAUCAUUCUUGGCACCAUUGCCAUUUUGUUUGUGCGGAGGAAACUACGGUAUGCUGAGCUGCGAGAAGAUUGGGAGGUCGAGUUUGGGCCUCAACGGUUCUCAUACAAGGACCUAUUUCAUGCCACUCUAGGAUUUAAGAACAAGAACUUGAUUGGAGUAGGUGGAUUUGGGAAGGUCUAUAAAGGAAUCCUUGCGACAUCUAAAUUGGAUAUUGCUGUCAAGAAAAUCUCCCAUGAGUCAAGGCAAGGAAUGAAGGAGUUUAUAACAGAGGUUGUUAGCAUUGGCCGCCUUCGUCACCGCAAUCUUGUGCCACUGCUUGGCUACUGUCGGCGGAAAAAUGAACUACUUCUGGUCUAUAAUUACAUGUCAAAUGGGAGUCUUGAUAAGUAUCUACAUGAUGUCGAUGGUAGGUCUACACUUGAUUGGACUCGAAGGUUUCAGAUAAUUAAAGAUGUCGCACGUGGAUUAUUAUACUUGCAUGAGAAAUGGGAGAAAGUUGUUAUACAUCGAGACAUAAAAGCAAGCAAUGUGCUCCUUGAUGAUGAAAUGAAUGGGAGAUUGGGUGACUUUGGGCUUGCACGACUAUAUGAUCAUGGUACUAACCCACAGACUACACAUGUCGUUGGCACCAUGGGCUACCUAGCACCUGAAAUGGUACGGACCGGUAAAGCGUCUCCUCUCACAGAUGUGUUUGCUUUUGGUGCAUUCCUUCUCGAGGUGACUUGUGGACAAAGGCCAGUGAAGCAAGACACACAAGGCAAACAACUUAUGCUGGUUGAUUGGGUUCUUGAACAUUGGCACCAUGGAUUGCUCACGGAAGCGGUGGAUAUGAGACUCCAAGGUGACUAUAACAUCGACGAGGCAUACCUAGUCCUAAAAUUAGCUCUUGUGUGCUUGCAUCCAUUUCCUACUUCAAGGCCCAGCAUGCGAGAGGUAGUGCAAUAUCUCGACAAUGACUUGCCACCACCAGAGUUGGCACCAACACGUCUGGGUUUCAGUAAGCUUCCUUUGAUGCAAAACAAAGGAUUCAACCCAUCAGUCAUGUCAUACCCCGAGUUGAUCACGAGCUUUGGCACAUUCUCUGGUCUCUCAGGAGGACGAUGAGGCUGCUUGUGUUCGAGAAUAUUGUAACUUGAAUGGAUGGAGUACUGAACACGAGUAAUUACCUGCAAGGAGUCUGUAAUGCAUCUAGAACAAUUGAUGGAAUAUGGGGAGAGCGACGUUCAAAUAAAUGUCCCCGCCGAGCGAUGGAGACAAACAAUAUUUAGUAAGUAGAUUUACAGCGACUACUCAUAUAUAUAGAUAUAUGUAUAAUAUAAGUAGUAGAUAUUUGAUGAACUAUUAAUGGAUCUUUUAUAGCCUCUGUGAUUGUUAGUUCUAAUAUAAAACAAUUACUAUGUAAUAGAUACUUAGUAGUUUUAAGGAAUUCAAUUACACGUU